AUAUUCACAUUCCUAAAGCAGCCUAUUUCUCGUGAUUUUUUAUUUUCAAUAUAUAUAUAUAAAUCCAGUCCCUCCAAAACUAAAUAACUUCCACCGCUUUUCUAUAACUCUUCUCUCUUCUCUUCUUUCUCUCUCUCCCUCUCUCUCUCUAAUUCUCUGUGUUUCGAUUUACUAUCGAUAUCAUCAUGACACCAAAUAGCACUAUUCUCGUGACCGGUGGUGCCGGUUAUAUCGGAAGUCACACGGUCCUUCAACUCCUUUCAGGCGGUUAUUCCGUCGUCGUCGUUGAUAAUCUCGAUAACUCUUCCGAUAUUGCUCUCAAACGCGUUAAAGAACUCGCCUCUCAACACGGCAACAACCUGUCCUUUCAUCAGGUUGACCUGAGGGACAAACCAGCUCUGGAAAAAAUUUUCUCUCAGAAUAAAUUUGAUGCUGUUAUUCAUUUUGCUGGGCUCAAAGCUGUCGGUGAGAGUGUGGAGAAGCCAUUACUUUAUUUUAAUAAUAAUCUUAUUGGAACUAUUACAUUGCUUGAAGUAAUGGCUGCGUAUCGAUGCAAGAAGCUGGUGUUUUCUUCGUCAGCUACUGUUUAUGGUUGGCCAAAGGAGGUUCCUUGUACAGAAGAGUUUCCUUUAUCGGCAGCUAACCCAUAUGGAAGAACCAAGCUUUUCAUUGAGGAGAUCUGCCGUGAUAUCUACCGUUCUGAUUCUGAGUGGAAGAUUAUAUUGCUAAGGUACUUCAAUCCAGUUGGUGCACACCCUAGUGGGCAUAUUGGUGAGGAUCCCCGUGGAAUUCCAAACAAUCUUAUGCCAUAUGUGCAGCAGGUUGCUGUUGGCAGGCGACCUCAUCUUACAGUCUUUGGAACUGAUUAUUCAACCAAAGAUGGUACCGGAGUGCGUGACUACAUUCAUGUUAUUGACCUAGCUGACGGCCACAUUGCAGCAUUGCGUAAGCUCUCUGAUGCUAAAAUAGGUUGUGAGGUAUACAACUUGGGAACAGGAAAGGGGACAUCAGUAUUGGAGAUGGUAACGGCAUUUGAGAAGGCAUCUGGGAAGUGCUGUUCGAUAUGUGUGCUGUCUCUUAUUGUUGACUCACUUGAUCUUUACACUAAUGAUACAACGACAGAAAAUUCCUCUUGUAAUGGCUGGAAGGCGUCCUGGUGAUGCGGAAAUCGUUUAUGCAUCGACAGAUAAGGCAGAACGUGAAUUGAAUUGGAAGGCAAAAUUUGGCAUUGAUGAGAUGUGCAGGGAUCAAUGGAACUGGGCUAGCAAGAAUCCUUAUGGCUAUGGAUCUGCUGACACCGCUAAGUGAAGGACGAAACUAUUUUUAUUUAUUUAGACUUUAAUUUAGUCUUCCUUGGCCGCCUCGCCAUGCUUAUAGAACCGACAGGAAUUAGGUCUGCCUAAACUUUGCUAGUAGAAUAUUUAUUUUGAUAAACAAUAGUUGUGUUAUCAUCCGCAAAUAAGCUGCCUCACCCCACACACACCUCCCCCCCAGAUUUACAUAAAAAAAGGUCCAUACCCCACUUUAGGUCUCCCCCUCUUUGCAGAACACUCUUGUGGUGACUGUUACUUGAGGGCUACAUAUUUUUUCAAGUCAAUUAGCUGACUCUUUUCUAAUUGAGUAAAUAAAUCUUUCUAAUUUAUUUAUGUAAUCUCCCUGUCCAUGUUUCAUUGUAUUUCAAUCUUCGAGAUUGUAAUUAAUAGCAAGUAAUCUUCUUCUCUGCUUAUGAUUA